AAAGCUUUAAGUUAAAUUAAACUAUUAACCUUCAAAGUUAAAAAUACGAGCUUUUUUGUAAGCUUUA
rnacentral:tRNA from 1 species